CCUACGGGAGGCAGCAGUAGGGAAUCUUCCACAAUGGGCGCAAGCCUGAUGCAGCAACGCCGCGUGAGUGAAGAAGGUCUUCGGAUCGUAAAACCCUGUUGUUAGAGAAGAAAGCGCGUGAGAGUAACUGUUCACGUUUCGACGGUAUCUACCCAGAAAGCCACGGCUAACUACGUGCCAGCAGCCGCGGUAAUACGUAGGUGGCAAGCGUUAUCCGGAUUUAUUGGGCGUAAAGGGCACGCAGGCGGUCUGUUAAGUCUGAUGUGAAAGCCUUGGGCUUAACCGGAGUAUUGCAUUGGACACUGGGAGACUAGAGUGCAGUAGAGGAGAGUGGAACUCCAUGUGUAGCGGUGAAAUGCGUAGAGAUAUGGAGGAACACCAGUGGCGAAGGCGGCUCUCUGGUCUGUAACUGACGCUGAGGUUCGAAAGCGUGGGUAGCAAACAGGAUUAGAUACCCGAGUAGUC
rnacentral:rRNA from 1 species